GUGCCAGCAGCCGCGGUAAUACGUAGGUGGCAAGCGUUGUCCGGAUUCAUUGGGCGUAAAGCGCACGCAGGCGGUUCGUUAAGUCCAGGGUGAAAUCUCCCGGCUCAACUGGGAGGGGUCUUUGGAUACUGGCGGACUUGAGUGCAUCAGAGGAGAGCGGAAUUCCCGGUGUAGUGGUGAAAUGCGUAGAUAUCGGGAGGAACACCAGUGGCGAAGGCGGCUCUCUGGGGUGUGACUGACGCUGAGGUGCGAAAGCGUGGGGAGCGAACCGGAUUAGAUACCCUGGUAGUCC
rnacentral:rRNA from 1 species